GACGAACGCUGGCGGCGUGCUUAACACAUGCAAGUCGAACGGAAAGCGCUCUUCAGAGUGACUCGAGUGGCGAACGGGUGAGUAACACGUGGGUGAUCUGCCCCGCACUUUGGGAUAAGCCUGGGAAACUGGGUCUAAUACCGGAUAGGACUACGGCCUGCAUGGGUUGUGGUGGAAAGCUUUUGCGGUGUGGGAUGGGCCCGCGGCCUAUCAGCUUGUUGGUGGGGUGAUGGCCUACCAAGGCGACGACGGGUAGCCGGCCUGAGAGGGUGUCCGGCCACACUGGGACUGAGAUACGGCCCAGACUCCUACGGGAGGCAGCAGUGGGGAAUAUUGCACAAUGGGCGCAAGCCUGAUGCAGCGACGCCGCGUGAGGGAUGAC
rnacentral:rRNA from 1 species